rnacentral:rRNA from 1 species
ACACGGUCCAGACUCCGUACGGGAGGCAGCAGUGGGGAAUCUUGCGCAAUGGGCGAAAGCCUGACGCAGCGACGCCGCGUGAGUGAUGAAGGCCUUCGGGUUGUAAAGCUCUGUGGAGGGAGACGAAUAAGGGUUGGCUAACAUCCAGCUCGAUGACGGUAUCCCUUUAGCAAGCACCGGCUAACUCUGUGCCAGCAGCCGCGGUAAGACAGAGGGUGCAAACGUUGUUCGGAAUUACUGGGCGUAAAGCGCGUGUAGGCUGCUCGGAAAGUCGGAUGUGAAAGCCCUGGGCUUAACCUAGGAAGUGCAUUCGAAACUUCCGAGCUGGAGUGCUGGAGAGGAAGGCGGAAUUCUCGGUGUAGAGGUGAAAUUCGUAGAUAUCGAGAGGAACACCGGUGGCGAAGGCGGCCUUCUGGACAGCUACUGACGCUGAGACGCGAAAGCGUGGGGAGC